rnacentral:rRNA from 1 species
UACGAAGGGGGCUAGCGUUGUUCGGAAUUACUGGGCGUAAAGGGCGCGUAGGCUGUGCUGUAAGUCAGGCGUGAAAGCCCCGGGCUCAACCUGGGAAUUGCGCUUGAUACUGCGGCGCUGGAAGGUGGGAGAGGAUGGCGGAAUUCCCAGUGUAGAGGUGAAAUUCGUAGAUAUGCGGAGGAACACCGAUGGCGAAGGCAAUCCCCUGGGCCUGCACUGACGCUCAUGCACGAAAGCGUGGGGAGCAAACAGG